rnacentral:tRNA from 1 species
GCCGGUGUAGCUCAGAGGCAGAGCAGCUGAUUCGUAAUCAGCGGGUCGGAGGUUCAACUCCUCUCACCGGCU